rnacentral:snoRNA from 13 species
GCUUUUUGUGAUGACAUGUGAAUUUUACCUUGGGACACCUAUGAAAUGCCUUGAUUAGCGUAAACUAUAGUAUCUGAUAAAU